rnacentral:rRNA from 1 species
UACGGGGGGAGCAAGCGUUGUUCGGAUUUACUGGGCGUAAAGGGCGCGUAGGCGGCCAGCACAAGUCAGUUGUGAAAUCUCCGAGCUUAACUCGGAAAGGUCAACUGAUACUGUGCGGCUAGAGUGCGGAAGGGGCAACUGGAAUUCUUGGUGUAGCGGUGAAAUGCGUAGAUAUCAAGAGGAACACCUGCGGCGAAGGCGGGUUGCUGGGCCGACACUGACGCUGGAGGCGCGAAAGCCAGGGGAGCGAACGGG